rnacentral:rRNA from 1 species
GAUGAACGCUGGCGGCGUGCCUAAUACAUGCAAGUCGAGCGAACGGACGAGAAGCUUGCUUUUCUGAUGUUAGCGGCGGACGGGUGAGUAACACGUGGAUAACCUACCUAUAAGACUGGGAUAACUUCGGGAAACCGGAGCUAAUACCGGAUAAUAUUUUGAACCGCAUGGAUCAAAAGUGAAAGACGGUCUUGCUGUCACUUAUAGAUGGAUCCGCGCUGCAUUAGCUAGUUGGUAAGGUAACGGCUUACCAAGGCAACGAUGCAUAGCCGACCUGAGAGGGUGAUCGGCCACACUGGAACUGAGACACGGUCCAGACUCCUACGGGAGGCAGCAGUAGGGAAUCUUCCGCAAUGGGCGAAAGCCUGACGGAGCAACGCCGCGUGAGUGAUGAAGGUCUUCGGAUCGUAAAACUCUGCUAUUAGGGAAGAACAUAUGUGUAAGUAACUGUGCACAUCUUGACGGUACCUAAUCAGAAAGCCACGGCUAACUACGUG